rnacentral:misc_RNA from 1 species
UUUCCGUAGGUGAACCUGCGGAAGGAUCAUUACCGAGCGAGGGGCUCCGCCCCGGCUCCCAAAACCUUGCCUACCGACCCAAGUUCCCUCGGCGGGCCGGCCCGAAACCUGGUUUCGGGCCACCGGCCUCGCUGCCGGUCCGAGCCCGCCAGAGGACCACAGACUCCUCCUAAACCUAGUCAGCCUCUGAGCACUUGCGAGAUUGAAUCGUGAAAACUUUCAACAACGGAUCUCUUGGUUCUG